GCUGAGACAGCUGUAACCUCUCUGUUAGUCUAAACCGCGACGGCCACCCCGGAGCCCUUCCCCCGAGCUCUCCGCGCGCCCGUCGCACGGCGGACCUCGCUUACCCCUGGGGUCGCGUGGCGCGGCGCCCGCCUCCGCACUCCUCCGGCGCCGUACCGCGCGACCGCUCCCCCGUCGACUUCGCGCGGCGCGCCGCCCGAGGUCUCCUUCAUCCCGCCGCUGCCCCGUACGCUGUGAGGGCUCCCACGCGCGGUCACCCUCCAUCUGCACCCUGAGUCCUAACGCAAUCGAGAUAAUGGAUGAUUUAGAUUGCCCAGCAGACGAUUUCGACUUUUGUCGAAUGUGCGAGCUCCCGAUGUAUCAAAAAGAUGACCCCAAAAAGUUCAUGGUCUUUGCAUGCCGUUAGUGUGGACUUGAGAAGCCAUGUGAUUUCCUUUACACUUUGGAGAAGAAGAGGGUCAAUGGGAUCUCAGUACUUCCAGAUGUGAAGGAUCAAGGAGAAAGAGGUAUAUGUGUGCCAACAGCACUGCUGACACUUGUAGAGGCUGAAAUUAAAACUUCUAAAGCUGAGAUGAAUGAAGACUUUAAUCAAGAAUUGUUCCUUGAUGAUCUGUUGAUGGAAUAUAAAGAAGAAGUUGGCGUUGAGUAUGAGGACCAUAAUGUCUCGGACCAUGAUGAUCAUAGAGCAAAGACACUUAUGGAAAUCUUGUUGGAAAAGGGGGUGAACCUCAAAGAUAAUCCCACGGGAGGUGAGUGCUUUAAAGCCCGAGAAGUUCGUCACUUAAAAAACCAGUCAUUCAGUGACUUGGCAGGCUAUAUACUAAAAAGGCAUCCACUGAAGAUUAAAAUGCCAAUCACAAAGAAGUUCUUUAAGUUGAAAGGAAGCGGUGAAAUGUACAUUGCUAUAGCAGGGACUCCAGAUAUGUAUACAAAGGACUCAGUGCAGGUUUGGCACUCGGUUGUCCUUGUUGGAUUUGGAAGAAAGGAAGGGGUUGAAUAUUUCCGAUACAUGAACAGUCAUGGAACCGAGUUUGAUGAUGGUGGGUUCGGUGAUCUGCAGGCAGCUGAGAUAAAGGACGCUUUCCUUAUUGUGAUUUAGGCAGGCAUGGCUCUCGAAAUUCAGUUUGCAAAAGUUAAUUUUGAGGAGCAUCAUCUUUUUGACAGAAUUGUUGAUAUCAACUUGUAACCCAUUCGAAAGUUCUUUCUUCAGUAUAUUUGGUAAGUCGGCAAACAAAAUCCUUCUUUUGUUAGCAUGCUUAGCGAUUCUUGUAUUUCAUGCACUAAAAUUUUACCCAAGUCACAAGCACGAUCAGCGCCUCUUAGGAAUUAUCUAAACUUGAGGAGCUGUCCUGCUCCCAGUAUGACUCUUUCAAUACAAUUAGGUACAACAACCUGUAUUGAGAGAUCUAAACUAUCUGGCCUUGUACAAUGAUUUAUUUUGUCCUAGAAAAUCUGGCUGUACCACAGGAAUCCAUAGUAGAAGUGAGUGGAUUGAGACACAAAUGUGCAAUAUAGAUGAUCAAUACUGGUGGUAACAUGUUCUGUUUCUUCCAAUUCUCAUUCCGUGAUUCCAAGUCUACUAUUUGAUAGUUAGCUGCAUAGUUCGGAGACCAUGAGAUUAUGUUCAGUUGUUACAAGUACAUGCUGCAUGAUAUGCUAUAUGUUACAUAGCAAAUGCAAGUCUAUAGAUGGUUGCUUGCUCCUUCGCUUCAAUUCUAUUUGCUACCAUUGCUUCUAAACAAUGAGAAAUUUCCAUGUCCGUUAAAAAAAAUAGCUAGUCCAAGGAUGUCCCAGUGUGCUUGCUUUUGGCCCUUGCUCCACAUUCCCGAGCCACCUAGCCAUCAGCUUCCACUAGCUCGCAUCUGCCUUGGUCUAUUCGGGGUAACCUCCUCGAUGGUGUACAGUAAAUCAUACUAUGGAAGAUCAAUCCACCUAGGUCGACAGAGGAACAGGAAUGAACCACUUUCAACAAGGAUUUUUGUAAUGCUUGUGGCCUUUUGUGGAUUAAGCUUUGCAUUAUAGAAAUGUAAUCCAUGCAUCCUAUUGUACCAAUAAUGCCCUCGAGAAGGAACAGUAAUGAGGUGCUGGCUAUAUUCAGAUGAUGGUCGGUUGUCUACUAUCUUCCUAAUACUUGCAUGUGUAAAAUAGAGUAGAAAAUUCCCGUGCUACGGAGUUACAGUCAACCAUGUAAUAUUCAAGUAAGUUGUCUGCCAACAAUCCUCGUCAAAAAAGUGCUUGCAUCCAGAGCGAAGUACUAAGAAAUGCAUAACAUCGCUGCUUGAGUAGA